UAUGAAUGAGGAUAUCAUUAGAACAGAUUUAUUGUUCUAAAUACUGUUUAGAGCAAAAUCUGAGAUACACAAAGAC